AGUAGCAAUACUUAGUGGCAGACGGGUGAGUAACAUGUGGGUAUCUUCCCUUUGGUGAGGAAUAACACGAGGAAACUUGUGCUAAUACCUCAUAAGUCUUUACGGAGAAAGCUUUAUGCGCCAUUGGAUGAGCCUGCACUUGAUUAGUUUGUUGGUGGGGUAAUGGCCUACCAAGACAAUGAUCAAUAGCUGAUUUGAGAGGAUGAUCAGCCACAUUGGGACUGAGACACGGCCCAAACUCCUACGGGAGGCAGCAGUAGGGAAUCUUGCACAAUGGAGGAAACUCUGAUGCAGCGAUGCCGCGUGAGUGAAGAAGGCCUUUGGGUUGUAAAGCUCUUUCGUCGGGGAAGAAAAUGACUGUACCCGAAUAAGAAGGUCCGGCUAACUUCGUGCCAGCAGCCGCGGUAAUACGAAGGGACCUAGCGUAGUUCGGAAUUACUGGGCUUAAAGAGUUCGUAGGUGGCUUAGUCAGUCGGAUGUGAAAGCCCCGGGCUUAACCUGGGAACUGCAUACGAUACUGCUAAGCUAGAGUAUAGAAGAGGGAAAUGGAAUUCCA
rnacentral:rRNA from 1 species